rnacentral:rRNA from 1 species
GACGAACGCUGGCGGCGUGCUUAACACAUGCAAGUCGAACGGAAAGGCCCUGCUUUUGUGGGGUGCUCGAGUGGCGAACGGGUGAGUAACACGUGAGUAACCUGCCCUUGACUUUGGGAUAACUUCAGGAAACUGGGGCUAAUACCGGAUAGGAGCUCCUGCUGCAUGGUGGGGGUUGGAAAGUUUCGGCGGUUGGGGAUGGACUCGCGGCUUAUCAGCUUGUUGGUGGGGUAGUGGCUUACCAAGGCUUUGACGGGUAGCCGGCCUGCGAGGGUGACCGGCCACCUUGGGACUGGGGUACGGCCCCAACUUCUACGGGGAGCAAGAGUGGGGAAUAUUGCACAAUGGGCGGAAGCCUGAUGCAGCAACGCCGCGUGCGGGAUGACGGCCUUCGGGUUGUAAACCGCUUUCGCCUGUGACGAAGCGUGAGUGACGGUAAUGGGUAAAGAAGCACCGGCUAACUACGUG